UUUUCACUCUAACAAAUUUAAUAAGUUGAACAGUUGUCAGUGAAAUGGAAUUAAAAUAAUAAGCAAUCUAAAUGUCAUUUUUUUAAGUAAGCGCAGCGCCAUCUUGUCCCAGCGCUGAAAGUGACAUCACGAGGUUGGUCCUCGGACGCCUCACUGACAUAAACUAUUAGUCUACAGUAACAGGGGGGGGGCUUUUGUAUUGCCCCUGGGUGUAGUAAUACUGGGUGUAGUAAAAUUUUAUUGGGUGGCAAAUGAGAAAAAGAUUCACUUUCACUUUCAUUCCUCGCCUCACACAGCUGUUCUUCGGCAGUGGCUAGCAGCGCUGAAGCGCGAGAAUCCUCCGCUGGGAUGUACAGACCUUCCGACUGGGGGUAACCUUACUAUGAAAGCAGCAGCUGUGAGCUGCAAGAAAUGAGCCAAACGACGCGCCCACCCAGCAGAGCAGUGAGAGGUAACUUACCGAAAGUCUAGAUAAAUUAACAUUUAAAAGAUAACAUAGCUAGCGUUAGCUAUUUAUCUAGCAUCUUACCAUAGCUAGCCAACGCUAGCUAACUAGCUAACGCUAACUAGAUGAAGCUAGCUACCCAGCAAGCCUUCUAACUUCUAUCAACCAAACAGCGCCUGUGUUUCAAUAUCCACUUAAAUCAUGUACGUUUUAUUCAGUCUUAAUGAACUCUGGACUUUACAUGCUAAAUAGCUUAAUGUAUAUGAACAAGCUAGUUAACGGGAUGGCAGUACCUGCUGUUGACGGGCUGCAGGCUUCCUGCGCGGACCUCACGUAGAGAGAGAAUAGACACCCCUUAAACAUCUCGCUCUCAGAAAAGCAUCUAAAAAAUUCUGCUCAGGUUUAUACAGGAAAGAUCUCUGAGCAAAUGGUCCACAUUAACCUAGUUCAGCUUCGUCUUCAUCCAUAAUCUCCCCAAACAACAAGCUCUUUCCCCUUACAGUUGAAAUGCCGGCGCCCUAGCGCAAACGUAACAAACAUAAAUAUAUUAUAAUUUAGUGUGUAAACAUUUUACUCCCACUCAAUUUUAC
rnacentral:lncRNA from 1 species